rnacentral:rRNA from 1 species
GAUGAACGCUGGCGGCGUGCCUAAUACAUGCAAGUCGAGCGAACAGAUAAGGAGCUUGCUCCUUUGACGUUAGCGGCGGCCGGGUGAGUAACACGUUGGUAACCUACCUAUAAGACUGGAAUAACUCCGGGAAACCGGGGCUAAUUCCGGAUAACAUUUAGAACCGCAUGGUUCUAAAGUGAAAGAUGGUUUUGCUAUCACUUAUCGAUGGACCCGCGCCGUAUUAGCUAGUUGGUAAGGUAACGGCUUACCAAGGCAACGAUACGUAGCCGACCUGAGAGGGUGAUCGGCCACACUGGAACUGAGACACGGUCCAGACUCCUACGGGAGGCAGCAGUAGGGAAUCUUCCGCAAUGGGCGAAAGCCUGACGGAGCAACGCCGCGUGAGUGAUGAAGGUCUUCGGAUCGUAAAACUCUGUUAUUAGGGAAGAACAAAUGUGUAAGUAACUAUGCACGUCUUGACGGUACCUAAUCAGAAAGCCACGGCUAACUACGUG